AUUGAACGCUGGCGGCAUGCUUUACACAUGCCAGUCGAACGGCAGCGCGGGCUUCGGCCUGGCGGCGAGUGGCGAACGGGUGAGUAAUGCAUUGGAACGUGCCCAGUAGUGGGGGAUAGCCCGGCGAAAGCCGGAUUAAUACCGCAUACGACCUGAGGGUGAAAGCGGGGGACCGAAAGGCCUCGCGCUAUUGGAGCGGCCGAUGUCGGAUUAGCUAGUUGGUGGGGUAAAGGCUUACCAAGGCGACGAUCCGUAGCUGGUCUGAGAGGACGACCAGCCACACUGGGACUGAGACACGGCCCAGACUCCUACGGGAGGCAGCAGUGGGGAAUUUUGGACAAUGGGGGCAACCCUGAUCCAGCCAUGCCGCGUGCGGGAAGAAGGCCUUCGGGUUGUAAACCGCUUUUGUUCGGGAAGAAAUCCUCUGGGCUAAUACCCCGGGGGGAUGACGGUACCGGAAGAAUAAGCACCGGCUAACUACGUG
rnacentral:rRNA from 1 species